GGGCUCGCCCACGAUAGGACUCCACUGCGCCCCUGCCUCACUGGCGAUUUAGCGCCCCCUUCCUUUGGUCCUUCUGAACCCUUGCUGUCCCGUUCUGCUGAGAGCGCAGGGCUGGCCAGGGUGCUGUGCCAUCUUGGAGACGCCUGUCCCUCUUCACUCCUUGGUCCAGGAUCUCUCCACUGACUUCACACACGUGUUCGUUCCUCUGUUGAAUCUGCUGCACCAGCUCUGUAAAACAUGAAAGCUUCCUGCUAACCCAGGCGCCAAAGGGAGCAAGGGCAGAGCUAAGGUGAUCUAGAAGACAUACAGGGGCAUCAUUUCCACAUUUCACAGAUGAUGUCAAACUCUUUUCUAAAGAGUCUUUCCUGAUUUAUAUUUGCUCCCGCAGUACGUGAGAAGUUCUACUGAUUCACAUUUUGACGAGUAUCUUCAAAACUGUCUCAAUAUGCAGUGAACAGACUGAAACAGGUGAAACCUACACGGAAACAACAGAGUAGAAGCACUCUUUAUUUAAGUUUGAUGGCACCUGCUCUCAGUGUUUCUUUGCAAGCAAGUAUUUUGGUGUCCUUCAGCUCUCUACAAUUAAUUGGUCUAUUCAGCCACAUUCUAAAGCUGUGAGAACUGAAAGAAAAGCCACAUGCAGCGAUCCCGAUCCAGCCUCAGUCACCACUGC
rnacentral:lncRNA from 1 species